UGGCUCAGAGGUUAAAGCGUCUGCCUGAAAUGUGGGAGACCCAGGUUCGAUCCCUGG
rnacentral:tRNA from 1 species